GACGAACGCUGGCGGCGUGCCUAAUACAUGCAAGUCGAGCGAAGUUUUUCUGGUGCUUGCACCGGAAAAACUUAGCGGCGAACGGGUGAGUAACACGUAAAGAACCUGCCUCAUAGACUGGGUCAACUAUUGGAAACGAUAGCUAAUACCGGAUAACAGCAUUAACUGCAUGGUUGAUGUUUAAAAGUUGGCUUUGCUAACACUAUGAGAUGGCUUUGCGGUGCAUUAGCUAGUUGGUGGGGUAAAGGCCUACCAAGGCGACGAUGCAUAGCCGACCUGAGAGGGUGAUCGGCCACACUGGGACUGAGACACGGCCCAGACUCCUACGGGAGGCAGCAGUAGGGAAUCUUCCGCAAUGGGCGAAAGCCUGACGGAGCAACGCCGCGUGAGUGAAGAAGGAUUUCGGUUCGUAAAGCUCUGUUGUUAGGGAAGAAUGAUUGUGUAGUAACUAUACACAGUAGAGACGGUACCUAACCAGAAAGCCACGGCUAACUACGUG
rnacentral:rRNA from 1 species